GGGGUUGUGGCUCAGAGGUAGAGCGCGUGCCUCACAUGGAUGAGGCACUGGGUUUGAUUCUCAGCACCA
rnacentral:tRNA from 1 species